AGUUAAUAAGAUCUUAUUAAUUCUGUUACACAAUUCAUGAGCAAGGAAAGUAACUUGAUUCAAUGACUUAACUUUAAGUUAAAUAUAAUUGAGAUAAGAGUUUUGGGAGUUGAGCUCUUUGGGAAUAACUGUUUUAGGAAAUCUACUUAAAAAAAGUCUCUCCAGAUUUUGGCAACUUGAAAGUUUUGUUAAGUUAAAUAAUGGGGAGUCACUGUCUGAAUUGCUAAUUGCUAAACAAGUCUAAGUUCACCCCCCUUUUUUAUGAGAGAAAAACUAAAUAUGUUUGGGUUUGUUAGAAACAUAUGACACCACACUGAGGACAGAAGUUAUUCGAUGAGAUGACGUGUGUUUCUGAAGACUGUAGAAUACAUAAGUUUUCCAAUCAGGAAGCCCUGGUAUGAUCACAAGUCCUUGCUUCUGUUUUUGCUGGAGAUCAGGGUUCUUAAGGGCUGUUGUUGUUUAGUUGCUCGGUCACCUCCGACUCUUUUGUGACCCCAUGGACUGUACCCGCCAGGCUCCUCUGUCCAUAGAUUUCUCCAGGCAAGAAUACUGGAGUGGUUGCCGUUUCCUUCUGCGGGGGAUCUUCCCCACCCAGGGAUCCAACACGCGUCUUCUGCAUCGGCAGUGAAGGAGGAAACAGACAGAGCUGGACUCCCAUCGUAGGCCAGGCUGCGAACAUUAGGCUACACGCAUGGUCACCCUCCCAAUGGACUCUGAACUUUGUGCUCGGUGUCUAUAGAAACAGCAUACCAAUGGAAAACCAGACCCCCGGAUAAAAGAGCCUCAGGACUUGUACUUGGACUCUCCUUUGCCUAAAAGAAUAUGCUAAUUAUCUCUGUAACAGAACAAAGUGGUAAAUUCCAUUAUAUUUAUCGGGAUAUGACCAUAGACCUAUUGAUAAAUAUCCACUGUUUAUCUAGUCUUGUGACACGUGAAUCAUAGGUUAACUUUGAUCAUAUCUCUCUUUUACCUUGUCCAGACUAGUUUCAAGGAAUUUGGGGAGGUGGGUUUGAGCAAGUACACUUAGGGUAUAUAAGGUUUUCACAAAAACUGGUCGGGGUCCUUGGCUAAGAGGAGACUCUGCCUUGGGCCCGCCGGUGUAAUAAACCACACUCCACUAUCUGCAUUGUCCUUCUGAGUGAGUUUGUUUCCCGGAACGCGUGGCUACAACAUUUGGUGCAUUGGCCGGGAAACUCCUCACUUUGAGGAGACAAGUCCCAUUUGGGACUACUCCGAGGCCUUGCGGCUUGAAUCUUCUAGAGGCGGGAAGGCGCCUCACCCUUCUAGAAGGAUUCUGCUUCUCAACGCCCGGACCUUUCACGUUAGCAGGUAGUGGAUGGCAGCAGGGGAACUGAGCGCUCAGGUGAGGAGGAACCCACCCAGCAGAGUGGAAGAGGGGGCCUAAUCACCCCCCUGGGAGGGACUGGAAGGGGCACAGACCCACAGGAGCCUGGAAUAGGCAGGCGGUGAUUGCUUGGUACACAGGUUGACGAGCGUGCUACUGUUUAGGAAGGAAAUUUGUGAAGGUCAUUUAGGAGGUGUGUCCACGCCGUUUCGGGGAAAAUUAUUACCAAGCAAUCGCUAGGGGAUAUUAGGAUAGGCAGGAGGUGGUGAUUGCUUGGUACACAGGUCAAUGAGUGUGCUAGGGCUUAGGAAGGGAAUUUGUGAAGGUCAUUUAGGAGGUGUGUCCACGCCGUCUCAGGGAAAAUUAUUACCAGUGACCGCCGGGAGAUUUUAGGAUAGGAAACUCGUCCUUGUAUGCCCGUAUUCUGCCUUCCCCGAGGAGGUGUCCCGUCUGCUGUGAAAUUCUUGACCCCCUCGGAAUUGUUAGGCUAGAAGGAGGGGGGAUACAUAAGUGAGUAUGAAUUGGCUUUUCCAGAGAUGGCCUGGGACAUGAGAUAUUUAACCCAUCUGUGUUUUCAUCCGCACCUGAUCAAGCCCACCAAGGCAGAAUGGACUUUAAGGGAGAAAGUCUUGGACCACGUGGUAUUCUGGUUCGGCUGUGCUGACUGGCAGGUGAAGACACGCCGAUCCCCCUUCUCCCUCUGGGAUCUGGCAGGAUUUGGACGGGGAUGACCUGACCCCUCUCCCAUACUGGAUAAUGACGCGCCUGCCUCCCAGUGCUCCACCUGGACCGGAGGCCGCCUUGAUGCCCAAUCCAGAGCCAAGUGAAGUUCCUGCAGCAGCCACUGCAUUUGCGCCAGCUCUCCCAGAGUUCGUAGAGCUGCCGUUUUGGCAGGCUCCGAUCCCGGUGACAGAAGCCUCUAGCCAAUACUUCCAGGAUCCGGCUCCAGCUGAACUGCCCAAGCUAUACCUGCCUCUCCCAGUGAGCACUGACAAGAAGGGGAGGGAGAUGUUGGAAUUAAGCAGAGACUGCGCUCUGCCACUCUGCCGGAGAGCCGGAGGGAACGAAAGAGAACAGACGAGAUGUGCAAUGCUAGCUGCUGCUCCGGGAAAGUCUAUCUCGGGCCCUCCGGAAAACCUCAUCUGCCUCAGGGACAGGACAGUCCUUCAACUGGUCCCAACGGAGGCCCUGUCCCCGUUACAGCCAAACCAGUGUGCCGGGUGCCAAGCUUUUGGCCACUGGAAGAAUGAAUGCCCUAAGGCAAGGAAGGAAGAGGAAGCUCCCGCAGUUGUGGGGCUUGCUGACUUGGAAAGUAAAUAGGGCUGCUGGGGCUCAGAGAUACCAGCUCCCCGAGAGCCCAUGGUAACCUUAAAAGUGGGGGACCAAAACAUUGACUUCAUGGUGGAUACAGGAGCAGAACUGUCGGUAGUAACAAAACCUGUGGCACCACUGUCCAAAAAGAGACUACCACUGUAACUGGGGUAUCGGGAGAAGAGAUGAUUAAAUCGUUUUGCCAGCCCAGAAAAUGUCAGAUGGGGGGGCGCACCAAGUGAUUCAUGAAUUCCUCUACAUUCCUGAGUGCCCAGUACCCCUGUUGGAAAGAGACUUGCUUUCCAAACUAGGAGCAGAAGUGGCUUUCUCCACUGAGGAGAGGCCCACCUUCCGGAUGGACACUAUGACUUAUUUGCUCUCUCUCAAUGCCACCCCAGGAUGAGUGGAGGUUGUAUGAGCCUCCGAAGGAAGAACCAGGUGGGCCAGAAGAGCAUGAGAGAGAGCUAACUCAAUUAUUCCCUGAGGUCUGGGCGGAAGACAACCCCGCCUUCCCCCAGGCUGGGUAAACAUCAAGCCCCAGUGGUAACAGAACUCAAACCAGGUACCAUCCUGGUUAGAAAGAGCCAGUACCCACUACCAAUAGAGGCCUGGGCCAGCAUACUACCCCACAUCAAUAGAUUGAAACAAGUGGGCAUUCUAGUAGAGUGCCAGUUGGCUUGGAAUACGCUGAUCCUGCCAGUCAAAAAGGAAGAAGGACAGGACUAUAGGCCUGUACAAGAUCUCAGGCUAGUCAACUAGGCUACUGUGACUUUACACCCCACUGUUCCAAACCCCUAUACCUUACUUAGCCUCUUCCUACCGAGGACUAAAGUUUGUACUCGCCUAGAUCUCAAGGAUGCCUUCUUCUGCGUACGCCUCGCCCCAGCGUCACAGCCCAUCUUUGCCUUUGAAUGGGAAGAUCCAGUCAGGGGCACCAAACAUCAGCUCACCUGGACUCCCCCACAAGGGUUUAAUAACUCCCCAGCCAUAUUUGGGGAAGCCUUGGCUUCUGGCCUGGACUCAUUCCAUCCGAAAGAGUAUGGAUGUUGGCUCCUACAUACGUGGAUGACCUGCUGCUGGCUGCCGAGACCAAGGAAAAAUGCUGGAAAGGGACAAAAGCUCUGCCCCAGCUGCUGAUGGAAGCAGGUUACCGGGUGUCGAAGGAGAAGGCCCAGAUCUGCAAGGAGGAGGUAAGGUAUCUGGGGUUUGUUUUAAAGAAGGACGCAAGGGUCCAGACCCUAGUUGGGUCCUGUAUACUGAUGGCACUAGCCUGAUAAAACAAGGACAACGGCUGUCAGGUUAGCCAAAGCGGAAGGGGCCAUCAAGACUGAAAAGGGAUGGUGGGAAUUGCCAAGUGGCAAAUUAUUGGCACCGGAGGAGCUGGCACACACUCUGGUAAGCCAAACACACCAAGCGACCCACCUAGGCAUGCUGCCUACUCACAGGUUAAUGCUGCCUCUCAGGUAUUCAGACAAAAACCUCCAGGUAUUCAGCGGAAAGGCAUGCUGCCCUUUGAACACCUGGGAGUGGACUUCACUGAAAUGAAACCUCACAGACACUACCGUUACCUGCUGGUCACGGUAUGUACAUUCUCGGGAUGGGUAGAAGCUUUUCCUACCUGGACUGAAAGGGCAUCAGAAGUAGCCCAGUGCCUGCUUAGGGAAAUAGUUCCCAGAUUUGGAUUUCCUACCAGCAUUGGAUCAGACAAUGGCCCAGCUUUUGUAGUUAUUUAGUACAACAAGCAAAACUUUAAACAUCAAAUGGAAACUGCACACUGCCCAGAGUUCUGAGAUGGUGGAAUGAACCAACCAGACACUUAAAGAGACUCUCCAAGUGGAUCAUAGAGACUGACUGCUUCUGGGUGGACUUGCUUCUGAUGGCUCUGCUCAGACUCAGGAUGACCCCACAGUCCCAAGGCUAUUCUCCAUACGAAAUACGAGAGGCCCCCUCCUAUAAAUAGGUGUCAACAAAUUUGCCUCAUGUAAGGGGGGAUAGGAUUUCGCAGCAGAUGGAACUGGGUAAGGUAAUAAAUCGGGUAACUAAGUUUGUACAAGAAAGGGUGCCUUCCCCCCUUGGGGAACAGAUUCAUGAGUUUACGCUUGGUGACCAAGUAUAGGUCAAAGACUGGAAACUUGAUUUACUAGCCCCUCAGUGGAAGGGGCUUAUACUGUUAUUCUAACUACCCCUACUGCAGUUAAAGUUGCAGGUAUUGCUCCUUGGAUCCAUCAUAUGAGGAUGAAGAGAACAUACCACGCAGACCCAGAAAAUGCUGAGUGGACUGCACAGCGGCCCAGCCUUAAGAAGAAGGAAAAGAAGAUCCCAGAUGAGGCCCUUGAGGAUGAAGCCGCAUAAUCAACUCCUGCUGCUUGGUCUCAUCAACGUGCACAUUACUACGCGGACUUCACAAUACCUCCAGCUAUUGGUGAUAUCAUGUGGACACCCUGGCGUCCCUGCCAACGCCAUACUCACAGGAGACCUGUUCACCUAUGGGGCCAUGGUCCACUACUCCUGCCGAGGGAGCCGCAGUCUCGUGGGCAACAGCAGCAGAGCCUGCCAGGAGGACAGUCACUGGAGCGGAGCCCUGCCCCACUGCACAG
ensembl:lncRNA